GUUGCUUCUUUAAUAUAUUGCUGAGUGACCUGUUGUUUGAUUGGUCAUUCACAAUAGGAAGCAUAUAAUUGUGUUGAUGCCAGUUUUAAACAGCAUGAUGUGUAUUUCUUUUUUGCAUUGUGUUACCUGUCUGCUGGUAAAUCU